AUUGAACGCUGGCGGCAGGCCUAACACAUGCAAGUCGAACGAGUGGCGGACGGGUGAGUAAUGUCUGGGAAACUGCCCGAUGGAUGGGGAUAACUACUGGAAACGGUAGCUAAUACCGCAUACCAUCGGAUGUGCCCCGCUGGGAUUGGCUAGUAGGUGGGGUAACGGCUCACCUGGGCGACGAUCCCUAGCUGGGCUGAGAGGAUGACCGGCCACACUGGAACUGGGACACGGUCCAGACUCCUACGGGAGGCAGAGGGGGGGAAUAUUGGAAAAUGGGCGAAAGCCGGAUGCAGCCAUGCGGCGUGGAUGAAGAAGGCCUUCGGGUUGUAAAGUACUUUCAGCGGGGAGGCGGUACCCGCAGAAGAAGCACCGGCUAACUCCGUGCCAGCAGCCGCGGUAAUAC
rnacentral:rRNA from 1 species